rnacentral:rRNA from 1 species
AACGAACGCUGGCGGCAGGCUUAACACAUGCAAGUCGAACGCAUCCUUCGGGGUGAGUGGCAGACGGGUGAGUAACGCGUGGGAACGUGCCCUUCAGUUCGGGAUAACCCAGGGAAACUUGGGCUAAUACCGGAUACGUGCGAGAGCAGAAAGAUUUAUCGCUGAAGGAUCGGCCCGCGUCUGAUUAGCUAGUGGGUGGGGUAAUGGCCCACCAAGGCGACGAUCAGUAGCUGGUCUGAGAGGAUGAUCAGCCACAUUGGGACUGAGACACGGCCAAAACGCCUACGGGCGGCAGCAGUGGGGAAUAUUGGACGAUGGGCGCAAGCCUGAUCCAGCCAUGCCGCGGGAGUGAUGAAGGCCUUAGGGUUGUAAAGCUCUUUCGUCCGGGACGAUAAUGACGGUACCGGAAGAAGAAGCCCCGGCUAACUUCGUGCCAGCCGCCGCCGUAA